UAAUGAAGCAUUUAUAGGCCUAAAUGUGUAACAUUCACCACAGGGGUUCUCUGUUUCGAGGGGGUAGCGCCCAAAAUGCGGCAUCAUUUGGGAACUUGCGUGUAACCAUUGCCUAGUUGGAGGUUUCGUUGACAUGUAUAACAAGACACCAUAAUGCGCCGAUGUGAAUUGCCCCUUGGGUGGAGAAAAACAUGGUUUUUCUGCACUUUGAGGGCGAUUUUAUUAUCCCGAUCGGGGUGUUAGUUCCCGAACGGGCUCAAGUACCCGUUCGGGGGUUGUACCGAACCUGGUUAACCAAAGUUGAGUG